UACGGGGGGAGCAAGCGUUGUUCGGAUUUACUGGGCGUAAAGGGCGCGUAGGCGGCCACUGCAAGUCAGUUGUGAAAUCUCCGGGCUUAACCCGGAAAGGUCAACUGAUACUGCAGGGCUAGAGUGCAGAAGGGGCAACUGGAAUUCUCGGUGUAGCGGUGAAAUGCGUAGAUAUCGAGAGGAACACCGGUGGCGAAGGCGGGAUCCUGGGCCAGUACUGACGCUGAGGAGCGAAAGCGUGGGGAGCAAACAGG
rnacentral:rRNA from 1 species